UACGUAGGGCUAGCGUUGUCCGGAAUCAUUGGGCGUAAAGAGCGUGUAGGCGGCCCGGUAAGUCCGCUGUAAAAGUCAAAGGCUCAACCUUUGAAUGUCAGUGGAUACUGCCGGGCUAGAGUCCGGAAGAGGCGAGUGGAACUCCUGGUGUAGCGGUGGAAUGCGCAGAUAUCAGGAAGAACACCAACGGCGAAGGCAGCUCGCUAGGACGGUACUGACGCUGAGACGCGAAAGCGUGGGGAGCGAACAGG
rnacentral:rRNA from 1 species